rnacentral:lncRNA from 1 species
AAUUUUCAAGUAAAAUACAAUUAUUUUUGAUGAAAUAAUUUGUCCAUUUACCAUUGCACAAUAAUUACACUUGGGAUACUAUUUCCAUAAGUUCAAGUUCAAGUUUCAAGUUCAAUAUAAGUUCAAUUUUAACAGGUCUAUUUAUACCUGUUUUCAAUCAAUUGCCAAUUUACCAUUUCUAUAUUACGAGGUACGAUUAUACGAGGAUUACGAGGUAGAUACGAUAUUACCUCUGUUACAAUACAAAUACAAUUAUUGUCAAAGGUCUAUUUAUACCUUUGUCAAACCAUUGCUAGAUUACAAUUUUAACAGGUCUAUUUAUACCUGUUUUCGAUCAAUUGCCAAUUUACCAUUUCUAUAUAACGAGGUCGAGGUACAAUUAUACGAGGAUUACGAGGUACGAUUUUAAUUCUAUACGAAUACAAAUACAAUUCGAAAAAUACAAUUAUUGUCAUAGGUCUAUUUAUACCUUUGUCAAACCAUUGCUAGAUUACAAUUUUAACAGGUCUAUUUAUACCUGUUUUCGAUCAAUUGCCAAUUUACCAUUUCUAUAUAACGAGGUCGAGGUACAAUUAUACGAGGAUUACGAGGUACGAUUUUAAUUCUAUACGAAUACAAAUACAAUUCGAAAAAUACAAUUAUUGUCAUAGGUCUAUUUAUACCUUUGUCAAACCAUUGCUAGAUUACAAUUUCUAUUUAGCCUAUAUUUCCAUUGUGACUAUUAGAAUGUCUAUCAAACAA